AAUCUAAUAUGUUCCAAGCACUUGCAGACAAAUCCGUUUCAGAGGAUCAAUAAAGAAAAUUACCCUUUAUGUGUAAUGGAAAGAGAAAUUGAGCAAUGAAGUGUCCCUAGAGUCACAAUAGCUAGCUCUCCUUAUUACCCUGCACCUUCAUCCCCUUCUAAUAAUCUCUCCAAAGUCAUGAUCCUAUCCUUGAGGGAGUUUGAAAAAGAUCACUUCAUGUGGAAGCAAGCAUCACAGAUUCACAUAUGAUGAAUGAAGAUCUAUUGAGGCUAAUGGACUGCAGAGUCGUCCAUCCAGUAAGAAUCUUUGUUACGUUCAAGUGGCGUUCAAGGUUCAAGUGGGCGUAGUCACCAAUCAUUUUCGCAAUAUGUAUUGUCAUUUUUAUUGUAAUUGAGUAGUUAACAUCUUUGCGUCACUCACAUUUGUUUACGUCGAUACUGUACUACUGGUCAGUACUUCAAUCAAAUAGAGGUACUAAUAAAGUAUAAUAAAACUAGUUAAUCGAUGACUCGAUUAUUAGUAGUGCGUAUGGAAAAGAAUUUGUAAUCUCUAAAUGUCAAUGUUAUUACUUAUUAGUUUCAUUUA